rnacentral:snRNA from 1 species
AUACUUACCUGGCGUGGGGGCUACCGUGAUCAAGAAGGCGGUUCCCCUAGGGCGAGGCCCUUCCAUUGCACUCCGGUUGGGCUGACCCCUGCGAGUAUCUCAAAUGUAUGUAGGGAUGUCGAUACUCAGGGAAGUAUCGAUACUCGGUAUCGAUACUGG